GAUGAACGCUGACAGAAUGCUUAACACAUGCAAGUCAACUUGAACUUCGGUUUGGGUGGCGGACGGGUGAGUAACGCGUAAAGAACUUGCCUCACAGCUAGGGACAACAUUUGGAAACGAAUGCUAAUACCUGAUAUUAUGAUAAUAGGGCAUCCUAUAAUUAUGAAAGCUAAAAGCACUGUGAGAGAGCUUUGCGUCCCAUUAGCUAGUUGGAGAGGUAACGGCUCACCAAGGCGAUGAUGGGUAGCCGGCCUGAGAGGGUGAUCGGCCACAAGGGGACUGAGACACGGCCCUUACUCCUACGGGAGGCAGCAGUGGGGAAUAUUGGACAAUGGACCGAGAGUCUGAUCCAGCAAUUCUGUGUGCACGAUGAAGUUUUUCGGAAUGUAAAGUGCUUUCAGUUGGGAAGAAAAAAAUGACGGUACCAACAGAAGAAGUGACGGUUAAAUACGUGCCAGCAGCCGCGGUAAUACGUAUGUCACGAGCGUUAUCCGGAUUUAUUGGGCGUAAAGCGCGUCUAGGUGGUUAUGUAAGUCUGAUGUGAAAAUGCAGGGCUCAACUCUGUAUUGCAUUGGAAACUGUAUAACUAGAGUACUGGAGAGGUAAGCGGAACUACGAGUGUAGAGGUGAAAUUCGUAGAUAUUUGUAGGAAUGCCGAUGGGGAAGCCAGCUUACUGGACAGAUACUGACGCUGAAGCGCGAAAGCGUGUGUAGCAAACAGG
rnacentral:rRNA from 1 species